CGCCUGUCCGCGGCCACCGCUGCUUCCCGGGUGGCUCGCACCGCUGCUCCAGCUCCCGCAGCCGCCGCUCCUCCGCCGCUGGAGCCCGCAGAGUGGACCACUGUGAGCCGAGGCCUACGGCACAGAAGUUUAUUAUCCUAAAAAUAGAAAAUGCUGAAAAAUGCAGUGACUUAACCCAGGGCUCACAACCAAGCGUCAUGAAUACUCGCUUGCUUGGCUCUAGAGAGAGGCACACUCUCCGACAGGUCACCGGACUGCCUCCCACCUGUACCAGGUGAGCCACAUCUGUGCCAGAAUUUAGAGCGGAAAAAGAAGGUAGAUGAGGAAGAAUGUCCUCGUAGUACUCAUCUGACAACACCAGGAGCAGAGAACACUUGCUCAAGAGUUCCUAGUCAUCCAGUGAAGCAGCUGUUCACAGACGCUUUCUACCAAGCCUGACAACCCAGGUUCUAUCCAGAGAUGCAUGCAGUAGAAAGAGAAGUGACUCCCUCAAAUUGUCCUCUGACCUCAGUGUUGCCCCCCACAAUAAAUAAAUGAAUAAAUAAAUGUCAUUCCAAA